rnacentral:lncRNA from 1 species
ACACAGCACCCUCCUCACGGCGCGCACACCCACAUCGGCAUGCAUUCCGGUACCAGUCACCUUGGAGCUGGCCAAACUUGGGGAUCCAAAAAGCGGUCCUGCUUCCUAGCGGGUGUUGAGCUCUGCAGCGUCGUCCCCCACGAACCUCCCUGCCCCCUGCUCCUGAUUCCCUUUCAGGAAUUUACAAACAUUUUUCCCUAGAUCAAUAUCCGUAUUGAUUAUUCAUUGUGAGCGAGUCGUGUGUCUUUGGUGAUCCAGCUUGCAGAGGGUAGCAGCUAAAGACGGCUGCAGGGGGAGAAAAAUAACAGAAGGUGAGAAGGACCCAGCUCUGGCUGAGGUCUGCGGCUGUCACAUCACAGAGAGGAGGAGGAAGAAGAAGAGAAUGGUCCAGAAUGAAAGGAUGGAGAAGGGUGUAAAAGAAAGAGGACGCAACUGCAAGAAAGAAAGAUGUGAGGACUGCAUUGGUCUUAGGGAUCUCAAUGGCUUGGAGGAAAGCCCCAUCAACUUGGGUCUGCUGCUAGGUGCAAAAUGCCGAGCUGUUCCUCUGCUCUGGGAGUGAAAAGUGACUCACGGUUUUGGUGUCUUCCUACGUAAGAGCUUUUGGUGGGGGGAUUCCUUGGCUUGCUGACAGACAAGGAAGGACGCAGCAGCAGUGAGGUAAAAGAAGAGGAAGGAAAAAAAAAAAAAAAAAAGCAACCCAGUCCUUUCCAACCGCCUUGCCGACGAUGCGCACCCGUUCGGUUUGAUUUGAACAGCUUGCUGCUCUAAAUGGCAUGCGGAAGGAGGAUAAUUAAAAAGGCCAGCAUCACUUACUAAGUGAGUAAACACAAAGCCGUUCCAAACGUGCUCUCCAGCUAAUGAGGAGCUGUGAUUUCUUAUACUUCAAGGCAAAACAAGACAGGGAUGGGGGCUCGCUCAGCCGAGUGUAUGUCUGCAUGGGGAUGUGGAAAUGGGGGGUGGGCAGUGGUCCUUGCUGAUGGAGAUAAAUCGACUAAUUGUUGGUGAUAUUUAAAAAGGGGAUUACUGGAAAAAGACAGUGAGAGGAUGACAGGAAGACAUCUUGGACCAGAGCCAAAAAAUAAUAAUAAUCAAGGCAAAUCAAGUCUGCAAUUCGGAGGAAACACCCAUGACUUGGGAAGCUCCCGAUGGGAACAUGGGAACCCGCUGGAGUUCCAAAGCCGAGUCUGGGAAUAUUGUUGUGGGCACAAGAGGACAAGAUUCAGGAGAGAGUCAUGGCAUGCCGGCUUACACAGCUGUGCCACACACUGAGGAAAAAGAAAACCCAAACCAAAUCCACACCAGACCCAAACAGUGAAAGCCAACAUAUAUCCUUUGCAUUGGAGUCUUUGUGCUGGCUCCAAGUCAUCCCAUCUAUUUAAAGCAAUUCCACAACGUGCCUCCUGCUAGUAGCUGCUAGUCCUCUUGCCUGUCUCCAGAAGCUGCCUCGCUGUUGCAGGGUGAUAGUGGGAAGACGUGGUUGGGAAAAAUCAGUUUUCCAUUGGCUGGGCUUCUGGCAAAUGUGCCAGGUGAUUGUUGUUGCCAUUUGGACCGACCUACGGGAGCUGGUUGGGAAUUCCUCUUCUGGUGUCUCCCAGCUGUGGCUUGGGUCUCUCACUGAAUCUAAAGCCUGUUGAUUUGAGCAGACUGGCUGACUAGGAAGCUCCCAGGAUCUGUGUGUCUAUACCUUUCAAUGCUGGGACUAUAGAUGUUUGGUAUGUCCAGUUUUUUCAAGGAUGUUGGAAAUUUGAACUCAGGUCCUCAUGUUUGUACAGCAAACACUUACUUUACCAAGCCAUCUUCCCAGACUCCAGGGCUCCAUUUAAGUAAAAAGUCUGAAUGGUGCUAAUGGCUAUAGGCUCUGGGAGAUUCACUGCGUGGUAGGAAGCUGCUCUUCAUGGAGAGAAAGGCUGUGAAACAAGAUGCGGGCUCUUUGAUCUUGGUUCUCACAGAGGCUCCCUUGGCCCUUCUGUCCCCUAUGGGGAAUGGGUAGAUACAGUGUUGCUUCAAUGCAAUUGGCAGAAGAGGAUCUGCCUGGCUGUUUCUGGAAACUAGCACUUACUUCUUUAAAGGGUCCACGAGACUAUCUGAACUCACAAGGGAGAGCCAAAGUGCUGGAGGUACCCACAGAAUUCUGGGAAGUGUUACAUGUCAUACCAAGAGAGCACGAACAUUCACUAGUAGCACACUCAAGGAUUCCCAGCACCCUGGGCAUGGCUGAAUGGCUGUAGAAAGACGUGCUAGGGAUUCCUUCAAGUCCUGUUGGUACUCAGCUGUGGAGACUGCUGUGGUCCUUCCUUCUCAAGACCUGGUGUUCGGAGGAACAAGAUUUGAAUAACAGAGGGCUUCUCAGCUACAGACCUUGGAUGGCUGUGUUCCCAGAUGUGACCUUUUCAAGUGAAUUUAGAGCUGUGAACCCAGGAUCAAGAUAAGGAGUCUACGAGUGAAGCCAGGAUCAAGACAAGGAGUCUACAAGUGAUAAACUCUGAAUCCAGGAUCCAGGGUAGUACCCACUGGGGCCUAAGGUGCUGGGUGGACCUGGUUAUGAGCACAGCUUCACCAUACCCCAUUUGGAAGCAGGCUUUAUCCUAGCUGAAAGGAUGUCACAAUGAAUGUUAAUGCCACACCAUUUAUUAGAAAAGCAGGGACACUAUAACUACGUGUCUUCCUUCUAAAUACCCCUGUCUUGAUGAAAGUCUACUUAUUUAGAUUUGACAUUCUUGAAAUAAGCAAUAAAGUGAGGUUUGCCUUCUCACUCUUAAA